rnacentral:sRNA from 1 species
UUGCUUCCAGUAGUCUCGAUAUGUGUUG